CACGUAGGGUGCGAGCGUUGUCCGGAAUCACUGGGCGUAAAGGGUGCGUAGGCGGCGCGGUAAGUCGGGUGUGAAAUCUCGGAGCUUAACUCCGAAACUGCAUUCGAUACUGCCGUGCUUGAGGACUGGAGAGGAGACUGGAAUUUACGGUGUAGCGGUGAAAUGCGUAGAUAUCGUAAGGAAGACCAGUGGCGAAGGCGGGUCUCUGGACAGUUCCUGACGCUGAGGCACGAAGGUCAGGGGAGCAAACGGG
rnacentral:rRNA from 1 species